GACGAACGCUGGCGGCGUGCUUAACACAUGCAAGUCGAACGGAAAGGCCCUGCUUUUGUGGGGUGCUCGAGUGGCGAACGGGUGAGUAACACGUGAGUAACCUGCCCUUGACUUUGGGAUAACUUCAGGAAACUGGGGCUAAUACCGGAUAGGAGCUCCUGCUGCAUGGUGGGGGUUGGAAAGUUUCGGCGGUUGGGGAUGGACGCGCGGCUUAUCAGCUUGUUGGUGGGGUAGUGGCUUACCAAGGCUUUGACGGGUAGCCGGCCUGAGAGGGUGACCGGCCACAUUGGGACUGCGAUACGGCCCAGACUCCUACGGGAGGCAGCAGUGGGGAGUAUUGCACAAUGGGCGGAAGCCUGAUGCAGCAACGCCGCGUGCGGGAUGACGGCCUUCGGGUUGUAAACCGCUUUCGCCUGUGACGAAGCGUGAGUGACGGUAAUGGGUAAAGAAGCACCGGCUAACUACGUG
rnacentral:rRNA from 1 species